rnacentral:lncRNA from 12 species
CCAGAACACUCAGACUGCCUGACAGACAUCUCUCUUUGGAGAAAUCAGAACUCACUGAGCACUGACAAACCAAUUCCUGAUGAAAGGACAAGGGGAAGCUCUCUCCAAACCAAGCCCAUUAUGGAGAUAAUGGAAUCACACAAUCUUCUACCGAACCCAUCUCUGAAAUGUCUCAGGAGUAUGAAGAGAUGCUUCCCUCUCUGAAUGUCUCAUGGUCAGAAGUCCUAAGUUCAAUUUUCUAUUAGGC